AACGAACGCUGGCGGCAGGCUUAACACAUGCAAGUCGAACGCCCCGCAAGGGGAGUGGCAGACGGGUGAGUAACGCGUGGGAACAUACCCUUUCCUGCGGAAUAGCUCCGGGAAACUGGAAUUAAUACCGCAUACGCCCUACGGGGGAAAGAUUUAUCGGGGAAGGAUUGGCCCGCGUUGGAUUAGCUAGUUGGUGGGGUAAAGGCCUACCAAGGCGACGAUCCAUAGCUGGUCUGAGAGGAUGAUCAGCCACAUUGGGACUGAGACACGGCCCAAACUCCUACGGGAGGCAGCAGUGGGGAAUAUUGGACAAUGGGCGCAAGCCUGAUCCAGCCAUGCCGCGUGAGUGAUGAAGGCCUUAGGGUUGUAAACCUCUUUCAGUAGGGAAGAAGCGAAAGUGACGGUACCUGCAGAAGAAGCACCGGCUAACUACGUG
rnacentral:rRNA from 1 species